rnacentral:lncRNA from 1 species
AAAAACUUUGUAAGCAAAAACUGACCUAGGAAAUUUGUAAAUACAGGAGAAUAAUAAUCGGAAUAACGAGAUCAAAGGAAACAGAAUGCCGAAAAUUUCAGCAGCAACACCGAUCUAAGCACACGCUGCAAGCGCAUGCCAGCAGCACGCACUGCAGCAGCGUGCGCGGCCAACAAGGCCAGCAGCAGGCCGCGAGCAGCGCGUGCGGCAACAGCAAGCCUCGAGCAGCGCGCGCGGCAACAGCAGGCUGCAAGCAACGCUGCCAGCAGCGCGGGCAAGUGCUGGUCGCGUGCGUGCGUUCGCUGCUGGCGGAAGGUGGCGGCUUCCCGGUGACUUGGCGACGGCAAACUCGGCGUUGAUGGCGGCUGUCCGGUGAGAAAGGUCUGAACAGUGGUUGUUUUGUAUAGAUGGCGGCUGGGGAAGGAGGAAAAGAAAAAUAUGAUUUUAGGGUUUUUUGGUUUUUAUCAUUAAGGUUUCUAUGGUUUCAUAAUUUUUCUUUUGGGAAAAAAUGUUUUAAUUAUUUGUAUAUAAGUCCAAAAAUAGUUUUGGGCUUAAUGAAUUCUAGUUUUAGGCUCAAUUGAAAUUUGAGCUUAAUGGAUUAAGAUGCAUAUAUAAAAUUGAACACAUUAAAUUUAUUUUUGGUCCAAAAGUUUUAUUUUAAUGAAAUUUUUUAAUUAUUUAUGUAUUUCCUUUAAAAAUUAAAAUUGGUCCAAUAAUAAAUUUAAAAGUUCAAUUUUCCCUAAUCUAUUAACAAAGACAAGUUUAUGGAAGAUGGACAUUGACAAGAAGCCCAAUGAAGAUUAAGCUUAGGGUUAAUGUAUUUUUUCAUUUUAGGAAAGCCAUGAAUUAAUAUUAUUUAAUUAUUUUUCUAUAUGUUAUGUUUUGGAUGAUAACAUGCCAUGAUAACAUGUCAUGUACAAUAAGUAAUGCCACUCUAUGCAUAAUGAUACAUGUCAUUCAUUAAUUAUGAAUCUCAUUAUAUUGUUUGUAAUUUGUAAAUGCUUAAAUAAUAUUAGAUAUCAUCUAGAUAAUAUUUUAGGAAGCAUGCAAUUAACAAUAUAACUAAUGUAUGUUUUAAAAGGAUAAACCAAUUUUAAAAUAUUGAGUGGGAGAGGAAAAUUCAAGAUAAUUUUCCCACGGGCUCCAUUGUUAGUUCAAUAAUAAAAUUAUAUAUAUACCUCGAUUUCAUGAUACCGUGAUGCUCCUUCAGAGGGUAUAUAUAUUAGAUAUUUUAUUUGAUGAACUUCUUCAAAUAUAAAAUUAAAAUAUUUUUCAAUCAAUUGUUCACCCCAACGAUGACUAUUAAUAUUGAAAAAUACGUAGAUUGAAACAAUGGUUAUACACUCAACUAAAAUUUGUUAUUAACUUUUCCAACGAAGCUCUGUUAAAACAUUUAAGCCCAAAAGGAUAACGAUAAUUAUUUAUUAUGUCUCUACAUGAAAGUAAAUAAUCCAAUGAGUAACUGGGUCUCAUAAGUGUAGACAUGACUUCCCCAACGGAUAGCUUGUCAAAGCGGUACUAGAUUAUCGUUACAAUAAAUUAAAAUGUAUUUAUGGUUUUAUGCACUUUUGUCAUUUAUUGUGAAUAUUAUUUCAAUUACUUAUGCAUGGAUGCUUUAUUUUUCAGAAAAUGUCCUCCAUGAGCCCACUUACUAUUAUUCUGAGUCAAAACAAACUCACUAGGGAGAAUUAUAUAGAUUGCAAAAGAAAUUUAUUCAUUGUCCUGACUGUUGAAAAUUAUAAAUAUGUCUUAACCCAGCCGUGCCCUCCAGUUCCAGCGGAAGAUGCUCAUAGAAAUCAGAGGAGGCUUUAUGAGAAAUGGCAAAAGGCUAAUGAAAUGGCAAAAUGCUACAUUUUAGCCUCGAUUUCUAAUAUUUUGCAGACCAAACAUCAAAACUUGGAGACUACCACUGAAAUAAUGGAUAGUCUCCAACAGAUGUUCGGGCAGAGUACUCGCUCCGCGAGACAAGCAGCGCUGAAAGGAAUUAUGAAAAAUAAAAUGGGGAAGGGCACAAGAGUUCGUGAUCAUGUCCUUAAAAUGAUGGACUAUUUAAAUAAGGUUGAGAUUCAAGGAGCACAAAUCGAUGAUAACUCAAAGAUUGAUAUGGUGCUAGAAUCUUUGCCAGAAACAUUCAAAGAGUAUAAGGUCAAUUAUAACAUGAACAAAAGAAACAUGACCUUAACUGAAUUGAUGAACGAACUUCAUUUUACUGAAGAGAUCUAUUGUGUUGAGAAAUCUCUAGAAAGCAUAAAUAUUGCUGAAAAAGGUUCUUCUUCUAGACCUAAGCCAAAAGGUAAAGGCAAGAAGAAAGCUGGGAAAAAGAGACCGUUUACCAAGCAAGAUGGCAAGUCGAAAGGCAAAUGCUUCAAGUGUGGACAAAAAGGUCACUGGAAAAAGGAUUGCCCUAAGAUUGUGAAAUCAGGUAUGGAAAAUCUUUUUGUAAUUGAGGUCUGUUUAGUUCAGAAUCCUAUUGACACUUGGGUGUUGGAUUCAGGAGCAACUAAUCAUAUUUGUAAUUCACUUUAUUGGUUUCAGGAAACCAGAAACUAAAGCCAAGCCGAGAGCCUGAGUUCAGUUCAUUCCUAUCAUUUGAAACGAAUGGUUUAUCGGUUUAGUGCAACGUUUGUUAAUUGAUAUAGUUUUUAAUGGUUAAAAAUACUUAUUUAAUUUUUUAAAAAAAAUUAAUUUUUUUUUGUUGUUUAGUAUAUUUUGAAUAAAGCUUUUGAUAAUUAAAUAAGUUAUUUUGUCUUUAUUAUUAAAAACUUAAAUUUUGAACUUUUAUAAGUAGAGGUUAGAAAUUUUUUUAAAAUUUUAAACAGUCUUAUUUCUUUUUUUUUUAUAAUAUUACUUUUAAAAAAGUUACCUAUUAAAGUAAUAUUAUAUAUAUAUAUAAAGUCUCUCAUUAACUAGCCAAAUCAAAUAUUUUUGGUUAAAAUUCUACUUGUAAAGGCUAUUUGAAUAAAUUAUAUUUGAGAAAUUAUAUCAAAUGGAGUCUCAAUAUAUGUUUGAAUUGUUGGGAAAAUAUGCUCUUUAAAAGCAUAUGUGUUUAUUUAAUUGUAAUAAAUAAAUUUUCUGAUUAAUAAAAUAAAUGAGGUAUUUUAUUCAAAUAUCUUAAUUGCAUUAAUAUUUUGAUUAAAGUCCAUUUAAUCAUUUUAUAUGUAUUUAUGUGAUCACCAUGUGGAUUCACAGAAGACAUAAAUACAAGUUAUCUUAUGAUUAAAUAAAUUUAGUUCGCAGUUGAUAAAUAAAGUUGAACACUUUAUUUAGAUAUAGACUGUAAUGAAUUCAUUGAAUGAUUUGUCUUAAUCAUGUAUGAAUUUAUUGAUUUAGUACGAUUACAUUGAACAUGAUCACAUAUGAGAUUUAAUUAACUUUGUAAUAAAUGUCAGACUUAUUAAAUCUCAUAGGUAUUGAUUUUACUGUAAUCUUAAUUUUGAGUUAAUUAUGAUUUCAUGAUUGUAAUUAUUAUUUCAUUUGAGUUACCAAUGGGCACGACACAUACUUGUAGUCAGGAUUACCCAGUAUUUUGGUGGGAGCAAUUAUGAGUAUUGUAGUUAUAGAUUGACAAUAUAGAAUUUGUACAACACAUCUCUUGAUGAGUUUUCGACACUUGAUCAUCUGGCCAGAAUGUGUCAACAUAUUUAGUGUGUUGAAAAUGAUCAUUAGAGAAAAUCAGUAAGAAUCAAGGAAUAAGAUGUAAUUAAAUUGAUUGGACAGUUGAGAUAUCAAUUUAAUUAAUGAUGUGGUACAAAGGAUUGUGCAGUAAAGAAAUCAAUGUGGCUUGAGAUAAAUUAUUAUUCGAGCAUACAAUUAUGGAGGUCAGUUCCAAUCUUUUAGUGGAGUAGAUUUUGAAUUAAAUAAUUAGGCUAAUUUAAUUACAUGCUUAAUUAUUGUAGCCAUUAUUGUAUAUUCCAAAUAAUCACCGGGUUAGCUCAUUUAAUUAACUGAGCCGCUACUGGAUUAAUAAGUAAGAUAACUAGCUAUUUGAGUUAAAAGCUUAAAUAUAUUAUUUAGUGAGAGGCUCCAUGUAAUAUGCUUAUGUGUAAGGAGCCUUAUGUUAUUUUACAAGAUGGGCCCCUAUAACACAAAAACAAAUAACGUUGCCUUUGUUUUUUAUUUUUUAAUUUAAAUCAAAUUUGAUUUAAUAGAAUUAAAAAAUAAAAAUAUGGAGCCUAUGGUUUCUAUUAGAUAGAGAUAUAAAAUGACUUAUUUUCUCAUAAAAGAAAAAAAGGCCACAUUAUACAAUUCUGAGGAAAAGAUUUUUCUCUCUAAUUUUGAGAGAAAAUUUUUCUCGUGCUAGUUGCUUUAGUGGUGAUAAAAGCGUCCACACGUCAAGUGCAGAUCAAACCUGAGUCAUAGCCUGAAAGAUUAUUUAGUGGCAGAUCGUGAUCUGGGAGCCUAAAUCACUUCAGUGGAAAAAGCAAAGAUUGUUCAAUUUCUCAAAUUUUUAAGGUACGAUUUAUAAAUUACGAAUUCUUAUAUAUUGUAUGAGAUCGAUCCUAAAAAUUUUAUUUUUUAAAAAAUUAAUUUUUCUCCAACAAUUGAUAUCAUAGCUGUCUCAUAUUAAUAUAUAAGAAUUUCGUAUGAAAUAUAUCUUGAUAUUUAUGCAUUAGAGUGGCACAACUUAUUUAGAUAUAUAUUAUUUAUUAAUAUGUGAAUAAAAUGUGUUAUAAUUUAUUUUAAUUCAUGAUUAGAUUUUUUACUGUAUUUUUCGUUUAGAUUUAUAAAAAAAGAGAUGACUUUUUAUCACCAUGUUUCCUCUUGAAUUAUUUUACUGUAAUAAAAACUUUGUAAGCAAAAACUGACCUAGGAAAUUUGUAAAUACAGGAGAAUAAUAAUCGGAAUAACGAGAUCAAAGGAAACAGAAUGCCGAAAAUUUCAGCAGCAACACCGAUCUAAGCACACGCUGCAAGCGCAUGCCAGCAGCACGCACUGCAGCAGCGUGCGCGGCCAACAAGGCCAGCAGCAGGCCGCGAGCAGCGCGUGCGGCAACAGCAAGCCGCGAGCAGCGCGCGCGGCAACAGCAGGCUGCAAGCAACGCUGCCAGCAGCGCGGGCAAGUGCUGGUCGCGUGCGUGCGUUCGCUGCUGGCGGAAGGUGGCGGCUUCCCGGUGACUUGGCGACGGCAAACUCGGCGUUGAUGGCGGCUGUCCGGUGAGAAAGGUCUGAACAGUGGUUGUUUUGUAUAGAUGGCGGCUGGGGAAGGAGGAAAAGAAAAAUAUGAUUUUAGGGUUUUUUGGUUUUUAUCAUUAAGGUUUCUAUGGUUUCAUAAUUUUUCUUUUGGGAAAAAAUGUUUUAAUUAUUUGUAUAUAAGUCCAAAAAUAGUUUUGGGCUUAAUGAAUUCUAGUUUUAGGCUCAAUUGAAAUUUGAGCUUAAUGGAUUAAGAUGCAUAUAUAAAAUUGAACACAUUAAAUUUAUUUUUGGUCCAAAAGUUUUAUUUUAAUGAAAUUUUUUAAUUAUUUAUGUAUUUCCUUUAAAAAUUAAAAUUGGUCCAAUAAUAAAUUUAAAAGUUCAAUUUUCCCUAAUCUAUUAACAAAGACAAGUUUAUGGAAGAUGGACAUUGACAAGAAGCCCAAUGAAGAUUAAGCUUAGGGUUAAUGUAUUUUUUCAUUUUAGGAAAGCCAUGAAUUAAUAUUAUUUAAUUAUUUUUCUAUAUGUUAUGUUUUGGAUGAUAACAUGCCAUGAUAACAUGUCAUGUACAAU